AGAGUUUGAUCAUGGCUCAGAUUGAACGCUGGCGGCAUGCCUUACACAUGCAGGUCGAACGGCAGCGCGGGGCAACCUGGCGGCGAGUGGCGAACGGGUGAGUAAUAUAUCGGAACGUACCCUGGAGUGGGGGAUAACGUAGCGAAAGUUACGCUAAUACCGCAUACGAUCUAAGGAUGAAAGUGGGGGAUCGCAAGACCUCAUGCUCCUGGAGCGGCCGAUAUCUGAUUAGCUAGUUGGUGGGGUAAAGGCCUACCAAGGCAUCGAUCAGUAGCUGGUCUGAGAGGACGACCAGCCACACUGGAACUGAGACACGGUCCAGACUCCUACGGGAGGCAGCAGUGGGGAAUUUUGGACAAUGGGCGCAAGCCUGAUCCAGCAAUGCCGCGUGAGUGAAGAAGGCCUUCGGGUUGUAAAGCUCUUUUGUCAGGGAAGAAACGGUGAGGGCUAAUAUCCCUUGCUAAUGACGGUACCUGAAGAAUAAGCACCGGCUAACUACGUGCCAGCAGCCGCGGUAAUACGUAGGGUGCAAGCGUUAAUCGGAAUUACUGGGCGUAAAGCGUGCGCAGGCGGUUUUGUAAGUCUGUCGUGAAAUCCCCGGGCUCAACCUGGGAAUUGCGAUGGAGACUGCAAGGCUAGAAUCUGGCAGAGGGGGGUAGAAUUCCACGUAGCAGUGAAAUGCGUAGAGAUGUGGAGGAACACCGAUGGCGAAGGCAGCCCCCUGGGUCAAGAUUGACGCUCAUGCACGAAAGCGUGGGGAGCAAACAGGAUUAGAUACCCUAGUAGUCC
rnacentral:rRNA from 1 species